rnacentral:rRNA from 1 species
CGUACACUCCUACGGGAGGCAGCAGUGGGGAAUAUUGCACAAUGGGCGCAAGCCUGAUGCAGCCAUGCCGCGUGUAUGAAGAAGGCCUUCGGGUUGUAAAGUACUUUCAGCGGGGAGGAAGGCAAUACGGUUAAUAACCGUGUUGAUUGACGUUACCCGCAGAAGAAGCACCGGCUAACUCCGUGCCAGCAGCCGCGGUAAUACGGAGGGUGCAAGCGUUAAUCGGAAUUACUGGGCGUAAAGCGCACGCAGGCGGUCUGUCAAGUCGGAUGUGAAAUCCCCGGGCUCAACCUGGGAACUGCAUUCGAAACUGGCAGGCUUGAGUCUUGUAGAGGGGGGUAGAAUUCCAGGUGUAGCGGUGAAAUGCGUAGAGAUCUGGAGGAAUACCGGUGGCGAAGGCGGCCCCCUGGACAAAGACUGACGCUCAGGUGCGAAAGCGUGGGGAGCAAACAGGAUUAGAUACCCGAGUAGUCCCAUGA